rnacentral:rRNA from 1 species
UAGGGAAUCUUCGGCAAUGGGGGGAACCCUGACCGAGCAACGCCGCGUGAGUGAAGAAGGUUUUCGGAUCGUAAAGCUCUGUUGUUAAGGAAGAACGAGUGUGAGAAUGGAAAGUUCAUACUGUGACGGUACUUAACCAGAAAGGGACGGCUAACUACGUGCCAGCAGCGCGGUAAUACGUAGGUCCCGAGCGUUGUCCGGAUUUAUUGGGCGUAAAGCGAGCGCAGGCGGUUAGAUAAGUCUGAAGUUAAAGGCAGUGGCUCAACCAUUGUAGGCUUUGGAAACUGUUUAACUUGAGUGCAGAAGGGGAGAGUGGAAUUCCAUGUGUAGCGGUGAAAUGCGUAGAUAUAUGGAGGAACACCGGUGGCGAAAGCGGCUCUCUGGUCUGUAACUGACGCUGAGGCUCGAAAGCGUGGGGAGCGAACAGG